rnacentral:lncRNA from 1 species
AAAAAUCAUUAAUGCGUAUGUAGAUAUAAAGAUUUAGAAUAGAAAAAAAACUGAGGUUUGUUCUUCCAAUUUCCAUUUUCUUCAAUAAAAAAAAAAAUUAUGAGAAGAUCCAAUAGUCGAUGAAUGGUAAAAAUACUAAGAAUAUAAUUCUAGUUAAAUGUUAUGGACUCUUCCUGUCCAUUGACAAGUUAGACAAAGGAAGAGAAACGUCAGCCAUCAAACUGUUUACUUUGGAAAGAAUUUUCGUGCAAUUAUUCCGUCAGAGAGGCAUCGAGAGGUCCUACGCUUUGCCUUCGAUACUCACUAUAAACAACGCUUUUAAUCCGUCAUUAUGGUCAGAUAAUGUGAGGAAGGUCAGCAUCUGAUUAUCCUCGUUAUUUCCAUCUAUCGACGUGUGUUGGGGCUUUUCUCUCUCUUUUUUUUUUUUUUUUUUGCCACCCUUCUAUCGAUCGGGCGUUUGUUGACAGCCGAAGCGUCG